CCGCGGCGCCUGCGCGGAAGGGUUUAGACGCUGUGAAGCAGGAGGCACUUGGGAUCGUCCGCAGGAUUGGGACUGCUACAGAGGCCGCCACGGAGCCCGCCGGAGCCACCGUUCCUACUGCUGCUGCCGCCGCUGCCCGAAUCGGAACCGUCGGGCCGCAGCCGCCGGCAAUGCCGCGAAGGAAGAGGAAUGCAGGCAGUAGUUCAGAUGGAACCGAAGAUUCCGAUUUUUCUACAGAUCUUGAGCACACAGAUAGUUCAGAGAGCGAUGGCACAUCCCGGCGAUCUGCCCGAGUCACCCGCUCCUCAGCCCGGCUGAGCCAGAGUUCCCAAGAUUCUAGUCCUGUUCGAAAUUUGCAGUCUUUUGGCACUGAGGAGCCUGCUUAUUCUACCAGAAGAGUGACCCGUAGUCAGCAGCAGCCUACCCCAGUGACUCCGAAAAAAUACCCACUUCGGCAGACUCGUUCGUCUGGCUCAGAAACUGAGCAAGUGGUUGACUUUUCAGAUAGAGAAACCAAAAAUACAGCUGAUCAUGAUGAGUCUCCACCUCGAACUCCAACUGGAAAUGCACCUUCUUCCGAGUCUGACAUAGACAUCUCCAGCCCCAACGUGUCUCAUGAUGAGAGCAUUGCCAAGGACAUGUCCCUGAAAGACUCAGGCAGCGAUCUCUCUCAUCGCCCCAAGCGUCGUCGCUUCCAUGAAAGCUACAAUUUCAAUAUGAAGUGUCCUACCCCAGGCUGUAACUCUCUAGCAAAAACAAAACAGAAGACCAGUUACCUCCAAAUACCUCAUUGUAUGGUGCAUAGUUCAAGCUUAGAGAGGACUACAGAGGGACACCUUACAGGAAAACACGAGAGACAUUUCUCCAUUUCAGGAUGUCCGCUCUAUCAUAACCUCUCAGCCGACGAAUGCAAGGUGAGAGCACAGAGCCGGGAUAAGCAGAUAGAAGAAAGGAUGCUGUCCCACAGGCAAGAUGACAACAACAGGCAUGCAACCAGGCACCAGGCACCAACAGAGAGGCAGCUGCGAUAUAAGGAAAAGGUGGCUGAACUCAGGAAGAAAAGGAAUUCCGGGCUGAGCAAAGAACAGAAAGAGAAAUACAUGGAACACAGGCAGACCUAUGGGAACACUCGGGAACCUCUCUUGGAAAACCUGACUAGCGAGUACGACUUGGAUCUUUUCCGAAGAGCACAAGCCCGGGCUUCAGAGGAUUUGGAGAAGUUGAGGCUGCAAGGCCAAAUCACAGAGGGGAGCAACAUGAUUAAAACAAUUGCUUUUGGUCGCUAUGAGCUUGAUACUUGGUACCAUUCUCCGUAUCCUGAAGAAUAUGCACGACUGGGACGCCUCUACAUGUGUGAAUUCUGCUUAAAAUACAUGAAGAGCCAAACAAUACUCCGCCGACACAUGGCUAAGUGUGUGUGGAAACACCCACCCGGGGAUGAGAUAUAUCGCAAAGGCUCAAUCUCCGUGUUUGAAGUGGAUGGCAAGAAAAACAAGAUCUACUGCCAAAAUCUAUGCCUAUUGGCCAAGCUUUUUCUGGACCACAAGACAUUAUAUUAUGAUGUGGAACCCUUCCUGUUCUAUGUUAUGACAGAAGCGGACAACACUGGCUGUCACCUGAUUGGAUAUUUUUCAAAGGAAAAGAAUUCAUUCCUCAACUACAAUGUGUCCUGCAUCCUUACCAUGCCUCAGUACAUGAGACAGGGCUAUGGCAAGAUGCUCAUUGAUUUCAGUUAUUUGCUUUCCAAAGUGGAAGAAAAAGUUGGCUCCCCAGAACGUCCACUCUCAGAUCUGGGGCUCAUAAGCUAUCGCAGUUACUGGAAAGAAGUGCUUCUCCGUUACCUGCAUAAUUUCCAAGGCAAAGAGAUUUCUAUCAAAGAAAUUAGCCAGGAGACAGCUGUGAAUCCUGUGGACAUUGUCAGCACUCUGCAAGCCCUUCAGAUGCUCAAGUAUUGGAAAGGAAAACACCUAGUUUUGAAGAGACAGGACCUGAUUGAUGAGUGGAUAGCCAAAGAGGCCAAAAGAUCCAACUCCAAUAAAACCAUGGAUCCAAGCUGUUUAAAAUGGACCCCUCCCAAGGGCACUUAAAGUGACCUGUUACUCCGAGCCAGCGAACCCCAGCAGUAGGAAUCCGUACCCUAGGGAUCUGUUUGUCAUUUCUGUUGCUCUUGUGAUUGGCAAGUACAGUAUCCUUUGGGAAGGCCAUCCCCCUCAGGACUGUCCUGGCUCCGACCUUCAUGUACACUGCAGACGCUGGUUCUGAGGAACUGUUGUUUCGGCCUCAGUGAGGUUGCCUGGAUGGGAUCUAUAUUAGACUUGAGUGCAGAUCCCUCGUAGCACUGACCCAAGGUGUUCUGUUUGGUACUGUACCUGUCCAGUCACUGGUUCUCUCCUCAUGUUCUCUAGCUCCAUGAGGUUGUGUUGUGUCUUCUAAACUUUGUAAUAGUGCUUCUUGCCGCCCGGUCACCAGACCUCCAAGUACGGUUGCCACCAACAGGACCUUUCCGGUUAUUCCUUACCUGUGUUUUUUGGAGGGACAGGAAAGAGGUAACACUUCUGAGUGUGUGUGUACUGGGAGUGGUCUGUUCCCUUUGGAUUUCAUCUUGCUUUAAAUUUUUUCCUCCAUUUUUAUUGAAAGACGUGUUUUUGAUCAGUAUCAGGCUGACCAGAGCCGAAUACUUUUGAAGACUCUCCCAGGGAUUAGUCUUGGUAACAUCAUAUAUCUGGAUGAGAUGGAGAGAAGAAUUAAGAGGUGGUGAUGCUGUGUUUUGGUUUGAGUUCACCUUGGGCAGUGGGCAGUGUCUUGGUGGAAGGGAAUGAAUACUUUUUUUGCCUCACCAGAAAGUGUCCAGCAGUAAAUGUUUUCUCUCUCUUUACUCCCUGCCCCUUUUUACGUUUGCAGGUGCCAAAAUAAUUUCCAGUUCUCCCUUUCAUGCUGCAUAUGUUAACUGGUUAAUCAUAACUGCAAAAACCUUUUCACCUGUACCAGUCUGAUAUAGCACACCUAGACUUCCACAUAAGUUGCAUUGAUUUUGUCUGAACAUCCUCGGAGAAGUAGAAAAUGAUUGAAAAUGACUUCCGUAUCUCAGCCCAUGACUCAGCAAGGCAGAAUGGCCACCCCUGCCAAGGACCUCAAUGGCGGGGCAGCCAUCUUGGGCUGGAGUCACCCAGCCUGGCCAGGAACCGGAAAGUCUCUUUGGAGAUUUGGACCCAUUUCUGAAAAGCUCAUGAAAACCACUUUGCCUUGGUAAAAGGCAGCCUUCAAAUGCAAGCUGGAGAGAAUGGUGAGGAAACUGAUGUCCAGAGAGCAGCGAUGAUCUUCCCACGGUCGUGUGGAGUCAGUGGAGAAGCUGAGACUUGAACCUGGGUCUCCCCAGCCUGCCGUCUUCUCGACUGCACACACCUCCACGUUCAGACAAACCAGGAAGGAAACCCACCCCGAAUGGUCGUUCCCUCGACGGCUCUCCCUCUGGCUCCAGUAUUCUCAUCUCCCAAGAUCAGAAGGAGUCAGGCUCAGCCUUGUCCCACUGCCUUCUUGGAAGCCUUCCCUGAGCGCUGGUCCUGUUUAGUCUCUUGGCCUCUGCCCCCUGUCUGAUUGGGAGCUCCCUGCGGUCAGGAUCUUUUCUCCCCCAUCAGGUGGGGUGGGGCACAGAUGCCGUGUCUCUAACUUGUAGAUUUCUCCCCAGUGACAACACUCAGGUCUGUUUAGUAGAAAAGAUCAGCUAUCAAACCAGUACUUGUCAGGAAAUAAAAGCUUCUACAUGUGAGAUAAAACAGUGAUCCUGCCCCAAGUUGAUCCCCUUGAAAGGAAAUUCUGGAAAAUCUCUUCUGAUGUAUAGAAACACAGAAUCAGCUUGAGCAAGGUGUGAGGUUGUGCUUUUGAAGCUGUGUAACCUUGGACAAACUACUUGACUUCUCUGUGCCUCAGUUUCCUCAUCUGUGAAAUGGGAAUAAUAAUCGUACCUUCCCCAUAAGGUUGAUAUGAAGAUUAAAUGGGUUAAUAUUUAUGAAG